GUGCGCCUCGGGCCAAAGCCCCGUGUAGUUGGCAGUGGGCUGGCGAACCGUUAGCCUGCAGAUAUUCACACCUCCAGCUGGUACUGGGAUCCAGAUAAAAUCUACAUUGCCUGGCUUGGGGACCAACUGCUCUUUAUAAUAUACAUUUAUAUAUAUUUGCGAAUAUAUUUAGUGUUUGUUUGGCUAAUUGCCUGCAUAAACUUCAACACUCGGUUGACUUUCGAUCGAAUUUCAACUACAUCGAACAAUAACAAUAAAAUUCCACGCUACGUUAACUUUAAA